CCAUAGAUGGACUGGUGUACUUUCAUGUGGCAAUCUUAAACCAGUGUUGGCAGUCUGAAGAUGUGGAUUUUUGGGUUUAUCAUAGCUUAGGGUAUUUUCUGCUAACAUGCUAAUGUGAAGCUGUUUGUACUUGUAACCAAAUGAUACAAUUAGUUUUCUGGUUCUGGUUGUAUCUGUCAUAAGAGAUUAUGGAGCACAUUGGGGUAUUUUAAAAUUUU
rnacentral:lncRNA from 1 species